GAAUCAACUGUUUUGAAAAUAUGUCGGGCUGGGAUGACAUACCUAUACAACAAAAUUAUGUUUCUUCCAGCGUUCGUAAUGAUGAUGACAUUGCGAAGAUAUGUGCCAGAACGUUUAACCGAGCAGUUAAUUUAUUAACUGAUUAUUCUCAACAUACUAUUCCUGAACUUCGAGAAAGUAGAUUCGAGUUGGGAUGUAUCCGAAGUCUGUGUGAAAACGAUGACCUCAAUAUCAACCUUGGAGCAGAUAAUAACAAUCUUUUCCAAGGAUUGAACAAAUUGGGCGUUAGGGCCGACUCACUUAGAGUUAACAGUGAGAGGUUCUUCCCCUCAAUAUCCAGUAAGGUGAUGACCAACGUGAUAGAUUCUAUUUCCUCUGUGAUGGAGUUUGUUAUAGAUCUUAAUCAUUCUGGGUUUUCAACCUUAUGGGUUGGUGAGAUCAUGACCAUAUAUGAUGUCAACAGUUUUGACAAACUGGUGGAUGCCAUAUAUAGGUUUUUGUUAUACACCUACAACUUCCCUGAGGAAGUGCAAUUUCAUAUGACCUUGAAUUUGUUUAAUGACGAUAUUUUAAAAAUAAUAUCAAAAGCAAAGAAAAAGAUUAGACCUCUUAGUGAUAGUGAGAGGGUUUUAAUGGCUAAAAGUAUUACUAAAGGGAUUCAUUUCGAAUUCCACUUUACUUAUAGGUCUUUAGGUUUAUAUCUUCCUAAAGUAACUAAUAGUCUAACGGUUUGUAAUAAAAAUCGAUAAAGAUAUUAGGGUAGAUUUGAUUAAUGUUUAUACCCUAGAGUCAUACACCUGAGAGAUUCGGAGUGUGUAUUGUAAAAACUCAAAAAAUAUAUGUUUCGUAUACGUAUUUCUAUUUAGAGUGUGUGUAUGAACGGUUUUCCUAAAUCGUCGUGAGACGGACCUUGGAAAACCUAGUAUUUAAAUAACUAGGUC
rnacentral:misc_RNA from 1 species